CAUGGUGACCAAUGGCGAGUUCUCUCCUCUCAGAACAGGACCCCAAAAUUAGUCGAGGGUCCUUCCUCCAGCACCAAGUGUUGCUCCUAAUUUUUUCAUCUAAAGUCGAAUGUCGAGGUGGAGAUUGCCGAGGUGAAACUACUGCUGAAGCUCUGCCCGAAUACCUGUAAAAAGUGCUCAUCGAAAAAUUCUCCAGUGA
rnacentral:lncRNA from 1 species